rnacentral:rRNA from 1 species
UACGGAGGGUGCAAGCGUUGUCCGGAAUCACUGGGCGUAAAGGGCGCGUAGGCGGCUCAUGAAGGCUGUGGUGAAAGUCCAGGGCUCAACCCUGGAAUGCCAGUGGAAACUGUCGAGCUAGAGUCCGGAAGAGGCGAGUGGAAUUCCUGGUGUAGCGGUGAAAUGCGCAGAUAUCGGGAAGAACACCCGUGGCGAAGGCGGCUCUCUGGGACGGUACUGACGCUGAGACGCGAAAGCGUGGGGAGCGAACAGG